GCCGAGGUGGCGAAAUGGCAGACGCGGCAGCCUCAAAAGCUGUUGUGGGCAACCACAUGAGGGUUCAACUCCCUCCCUCGGCA
rnacentral:tRNA from 1 species